AACGAACGCUGGCGGCAGGCCUAACACAUGCAAGUCGAGCGAGGACUUCGGUCCUAGCGGCGGACGGGUGAGUAACGCGUGGGAACGUGCCCUUUGCUUCGGAAUAGCCCUGGGAAACUGGGAGUAAUACCGGAUGAGCCCUUCGGGGGAAAGAUUUAUCGGCGAAGGAUCGGCCCGCGUUGGAUUAGGUAGUUGGUGGGGUAAUGGCCUACCAAGCCGACGAUCCAUAGCUGGUUUGAGAGGAUGGUCAGCCACACUGGGACUGAGACACGGCCCAGACUCCGACGGGAGGCAGCAGGGGGGAAUCUGAGACAAUGGGGGAAACCCGGAGCUAGCCAGGCCGCGUGAGCGAUGAAGGCCUUAGGGUUGUAAAGCUCUUUCAGCUGGGAAGAUAAGGACGGUACCAGCAGAAGAAGCCCCGGCUAACUCCGU
rnacentral:rRNA from 1 species